GACGAACGCUGGCGGCGUGCCUAAUACAUGCAAGUCGAACGCAGUGGGGACGGGUGAGCAACACGUGGGUAACCUCCCAUCUGAGGGGCUAACACUUGGAAACUGGUGCUUAACCGAUACCGAUUGAUGACCCCGCGGUGCAUUAGCUAGGUGGUGAGGUCACGGCUCACCAAGGCAACGAUGCAUAGCCGACCUGAGAGGGGGAUCGGCCACACUGGGACUGAGACACGGCCCAGACUCCUACGGGAGGCAGCAGUAGGGAAUCUUCGGCAAUGGACGAAAGUCUGACCGAGCAAUGCCGCGUGAGUGAAGAAGGUUUUCGGAUCGUAAAACUCUGUUGUUAGAGAAGCGGUAUCUAACCAGAAAGCCACGGCUAACUACGUGCCAGCAGCCGCGGUAAUAC
rnacentral:rRNA from 1 species